UGCAGUCUCUUGAUUUAUGGUUUCGGCCGUAAUGAUGGUGGCGGACGGGUGAGUAACGCGUAAAGAAUCUGCCCUUUAGUCUGGGAUAACAGUUGGAAACGACUGCUAAUACCGGAUAUUAUGAAAUCAUUACAUGAUGGAAUCAUGAAAGCUAUAUGCGCUAGAGGAGGACUUUGCGUCCCAUUAGCUAGUUGGUGAGGUAACGGCUCACCAAGGCGACGAUGGGUAGCCGGCCUGAGAGGGUGAUCGGCCACACUGGGACUGAGACACGGCCCAGACUCCUACGGAGGCAGCAGUGGGGAAUUUUGGACAAUGGGGGCAACCCUGAUCCAGCAAUGCCGCGUGAGUGAAGAAGGCCUUCGGGUUGUAAAGCUCUUUUGUUUGGGAAGAAAUCCCUAAGGAUAAUACCCUUGGGGGAUGACGGUACCAAAAGAAUAAGCACCGGCUAACUACGUGCCAGCAGCCGCGGUAAUACGUAGGGGUGCAAGCGUUAAUUCGGAAUUACUGGGCGUAAAAGCGUGCGCAGGCGGUUUUUGUAAGACAGGUGUGAAAUCCCCGAGCUCAACUUGGGAACUGCACUUGUGACUGCAAGACUAGAGUGUGUCAGAGGGAGGUAGAAUUCCACGUGUAGCAGUGAAAUGCGUAGAUAUGUGGAGGAAUACCAGUGGCGAAGGCGGCCUCCUGGGAUAACACUGACGCUCAUGUACGAAAGCGUGGGUAGCGAACAGGAUUAGAUACCCUGGUAGUCCACGCCGUAAACGUUGAUUACUCGUUUUUGGGUACUUCGGUAUUCAGAGGCCAAGCGAAAGUGAUAAGUAAUCCACCUGGGGAGUACGCUCGCAAGGGUGAAACUCAAAGGAAUUGACGGGGGCCCCGCACAAGCGGUGGAGCAUGUGGUUUAAUUCCGACGCAACGCGAGGAACCUUACCAGCGUUUGACAUCCUAAAGAGUCGACAGAGAUGUUGAUGUGCCCUUUCGGGGGAAUUUAGUGACAGGUGGUGCAUGGCUGUCGUCAGCUCGUGUCGUGAGAUGUUGGGUUAAGUCCCGCAACGAGCGCAACCCCUUUCGUAUGUUACCAUCAUUAAGUUGGGGACUCAUGCGUGACUGCCUGCGAUGAGCAGGAGGAAGGUGGGGAUGACGUCAAGUCAUCAUGCCCCUUAUACGCUGGGCUACACACGUGCUACAAUGGGCGGCACAGAGAGCAGCAAUCCUGCGAGGGGGAGCAAAUCUCAGAAAACCGUUCUUAGUUCGGAUUGUACUCUGCAACUCGAGUACAUGAAGUUGGAAUCGCUAGUAAUCGCAAAUCAGCUAUGUUGCGGUGAAUACGUUCUCGGGUCUUGUACACACCGCCCGUCACACCACGAGAGUUGGUUGCACCUGAAGUAGCAGGCCUAACCGUAAGGAGGGAUUUCC
rnacentral:rRNA from 1 species